GUGCUCCCUUUUGCAGCACAUAUACUAAAAGUACAAUUAUAUAGAGAAGAGUAGCAUGGCCUCGCACAAGGAACAUGAAGUGUUCCAUAUUAAA
rnacentral:snRNA from 2 species